rnacentral:rRNA from 1 species
CAAACUGAAGAUGGCGACCGGCGCACGGGUGAGUAACACGUAUCCAACCUGCCGAUAACUCCGGAAUAGCCUUUCGAAAGAAAGAUUAAUACCCGAUGGCAUAGUUCUUCCGCAUGGUGGAACUAUUAAAGAAUUUCGGUUAUCGAUGGGGAUGCGUUCCAUUAGUUUGUUGGCGGGGUAACGGCCCACCAAGACUACGAUGGAUAGGGGUUCUGAGAGGAAGGUCCCCCACAUUGGAACUGAGACACGGUCCAAACUCCUACGGGAGGCAGCAUG